CAAAAGGGUUUAAUUGGUUCAUCGAAUUGGUAUCUCUCUCUCAAGUUCCAAAUCCAACCAAAAGAUAUAGAAAGGGCAUUCGACUUCAAGGUUUUUUUUCUUCUGCCAUAAACCAACUACAGACUAACAAAUAUAUUCAUGUAUGCUUCUUUUAUGGCAUUCAACUGUGUUAAAAAGUGUGCGUAUGUAUUAUUGCUUAAAAUCAUUGUUUAUUUGAGUAGGUGAUGAAGAGAUACAACAUUAUUUAUAAUCAAUGUUGAUUUAAUAUUUUUUUUCUCUAACUCAUUACCAAACCCUGUAAAGUUACUUCUCAACUUUUAAAAUAAAUAAAAUGAUAUUAUGCUUAAAAAUCAUUCUUUUUGCUCAGAUUGCAUAAAAAAACAUAAAAAGUCACAAAUUUUCUUUAUUCUCUUUAAUACAUUUGUCCGUUAACUUGCAUUUUGUACAGUUGAGCAAAAAUAUUGCUUCCUUAGUAGAAUCUUUGGUAUUUGAAGACCAAAGACUUCCUAUAGUAUCUAGUGAUUAAAAUUUCAAAACCUUGAUUACUUCAGGUCCAUCGGUGAUACGAAAUUAUGGGUAGGUUAUUAUGAUAUAUGCAGCUAUGAAGGAUUCUAUUGUGAAAACCCACCAGGUAACAAAUUCGCUAUUGCUUAAGCCUCAAUUGAUUUCAAUAGUUUCCAACUAAAUGCUCCUACCCUUGAUGGUUUUAUUAAUAAACUUCCUGAUGUUACUCUUAUUUUAUCCAUGCAAAUACCACCAAUUUCAUUGGCACAAUCACAUCUCAAAUCACCAAACUUCCUUAUCUUUAUGAACAAUUUCAAUAGUUGUUAUGGGCAUGAACUCUUAUCUUGCACAUAUACAAUUUAAAAAGAAACAAUUUUCAUUUGCUAAAUUUCAGCCUGAAUUCAUUGUAGGUUUAUAUUUUAAAGCUUGUUGAUGAACGCAAUGCUAUUUUUGAAAAUGUUGGGAUUUGAGAAUGUGGCGAAGAAUGAAAGGAACAAAGGAUUUUAGAAUAGUAAUGAUGAACAAAAACAUUAAGUUUUCAUUUUCUAUCCAAUACUUCU
rnacentral:lncRNA from 1 species